rnacentral:tRNA from 1 species
CUCCCUGUCUUGGUGGGCCAGGGGCCGGGCUUCUAACCCGGGUGUCGAGGUUCGAUUCCUCGCAGGGAGG